rnacentral:rRNA from 1 species
AGUGAACGCUGGCGGUAGGCCUAACACAUGCAAGUCGAACGGCGGCACAGUAAGAGCUUGCUCUUACGGGUGGCGAGUGGCGGACGGGUGAGGAAUACAUCGGAAUCUACUUUUUCGUGGGGGUUAACGAAGGAAACCUACCCCUAUUCCCCAUACGACCUACGGGUGAAAGCAGGGGAUCUUCGGACCUUGCGCGAUUGAAUUAGCCGAUGUCGGAUUAGCUAGUUGGCGGGGUAAAGGCCCACCAAGGCGACGAUCCGUAGCUGGUCUGAGAGGAUGAUCAGCCACACUGGAACUAAGACACGGUCCAGACUCCUACGGGAGGCAGCAGUGGGGAAUAUUGGACAAUGGGCGCAAGCCUGAUCCAGCCAUACCGCGUGGGUGAAGAAGGCCUUCGGGUUGUAAAGCCCUUUUGUUGGGAAAGAAAAGCAGCAGGUUAAUACCCCGCUGUUCUGACGGUACCCAAAGAAUAAGCACCGGCUAACUUCGUG